rnacentral:lncRNA from 1 species
GGUUAGAUAGCUGUAAUUUUGAAAUCCAUACUCUCUUCUGUACAUUUUGGAGCACAUUGUAGCCAAGGCGCUGCUGAAUUUGUGCUCAGGUCGGGAGCAUAUUGAAAAAGAUGUGUACAUAAAAAAAAAAAAAAAAGAAAAGAAAAAUUAACAAAAAUACCCCAUAAAAUUAGAAAAGAAAAAAAAAAACAAAUAAGAAAAAAAAUAGUUCCUAACACUUGCUUCUUUGUUUUAUUAUUUUUAAAGUUCUAUAAACUUAAAAAUACUAUGCCAUUUUAAUAAACAUUUUAGCAUAAUUCUAUUAGAAAUCUGAUAAAAUUGUGUCCCAGACAGGAUUGAAUUAUAGAAAAAUGCAUAAUUUAUAAAACUCAAAGUGCUACAAUUUAGAGAUGAUGCCUUGUAUCAAAAUGCAGCUAGGCAACUGCUCAACUGUCACCAAGUUUGAGAGGAAAUGAAUAAAAACAUCAUUUUAUAUGAAGAAAAAUAUCUAAUAAAAGUAUAUAACAAAAAAUUAAAUUUAUAAAAGAAUCUUUUUUGUAACUCACUUGAACAACACAAACAAGAAUCUUCAAAAUGUUGUUUUUCUGUUGUAUACAGUAGAUGUACUCUAAAUAUGCAUCAGUCAGUUUAAAUAAUAUGUACAAAAUGUGGCAAUUAAAAAAUGCCCAGAAUUUUCAAGUAAAUGUCCAGGAAUAACACAUCUUGUAUAUUGCUGAACUUGUGCCAGAGAGUGGUUAAAUUAAAAACCACAAAACAAGGAUAAAAUGGUAAAAAAAAAAAAAUCCAAAACAAUGAAUAAAUUCUUGAAAUUCCUUAAUCUGUGUUUCUUUCUAGUGAUAUGUAGGCUUAAAAAUAAUCAUAAAAGUUAAAUUAAAAAUUAGUGCACAUAAUGCAGUGUUAAAAGCUGCUGAAUUUGGGCUUGGGUUAGGAACUAGCUAAAAAAAAACAUUGCUAAAACAAUAGAACAAUAGUAAAAAUGAAUUCAUGAUUUAAAUGCCUAAAAAUAACUAUGCGUUAUAUUGUCUUGCAAAGAAAGGUAAUUGUUGGAAUACAUAAGGCUGUAGGCUCAGUUAGAGAAAAGUAGGUUAAGUUAGAUGAGGUUCAGUUGUUAGGUUAAUACUGUAAGUUCAGACUAGAAAUCCAAGUAUAAAAACUUGCUUGUUUCCUUCAGCAUUUCUUUUUCUUUUUUUUUUUAUAUUGAACUAUAUGUGAUUCUGUACUCUUAGCUGUUAAAAUUAUGAAAUUUUAGUAUUAUGGUAUCACAUCAUUGAAUUGGAUGUUAACUGAAUUCACGUGAAAUACAUUUAAAAAUUAUUUGUGUUUUGCAUAAUUUCCAUGUUUAAUGAUGCUUACUCUUUCAUAUUUUACUUUUAUCUUGGGUUAAUUUUCAUGUUUUAUAUUUAAUAUAACUUGCUAGUAAUAAAAAUGGUGAUGUGAAUAAUAUAGCCAACAAUUCGUAAUGUAUAUCAAAUUGUAAAGUUGAAUUUAUUUUACAUUUAUAAGCACAGGUAAUCCUUAAGCUGUAAUUACAACUUUCAUUUAAAUGUUUAUUAAAUAUAAUAAAACGUAUUUGGAUUAUUAAGGUAUU